CCUACGGGAGGCAGCAGUAGGGAAUAUUGCUCAAUGGAGGAAACUCUGACGCAGCAACGCCGCGUGGAGGAUGAAGGUUUUCGGAUUGUAAACUCCUUUUGUUAGAGAAGAUAAUGACGGUAUCUAACGAAUAAGCACCGUCUACCUCCGAGCCAGCAGCCGCGGCAAUACGGAGGGUGCAAGCGUUACUCGGAAUCACUGGGCGUAAAGAGCGCGUAGGCGGGAUAGCAAGUCAGAUGUGAAAUACUAUGGCUUAACCAUAGAACUGCUUUUGAAACUGUUAUUCUAGAGUAUGGGAGAGGUAGGUGGAAGUCGUGGUGUAGGGGUAAAAUGCGUAGAGAUCAAGAGGAAUACUCAGUGCGAAGGCGACCUGCUAGAACAUAACUGACGCUGAGGCGCGAAAGCGUGGGGAGCAAACAGGAUUAGAUACCCUAGUAGUC
rnacentral:rRNA from 1 species